GGCCUAUUAUUUGCACUGUGAAUAACCUAGAUCGCCGUGUACAGCACACGAUUUAUAUCAAUGGUCUAUAAGUAUGUAGGCCUAGUUCCAAAGUGUAUAUUUGUGCAGGGGUUAGCUAUAGACUAUAAAACAUUAUAAGAGCAAAAUACACAACUGCAAACACGGAAAAUGGCUUUCAAAUGUCCCCCAGAAGCUCUGUUACGUCCUCUUAUCAGGCAGGGAAUGAAUAUGGUGAGAAACAACAGUAGCUCGGCGAGCGGAACGUACAGAGCAGCGACUGUCACUGAGCUAGGAAAACCGUUACUUAUUCAGAAUCUUCCCAGGAAACCAUUGAAAAAAGAUCAGGUCCGAGUAGCUGUGAAAUGCUGUGGGAUAAAUUUUGGGGAUAUUUUGAUGACGCAGGGUAAAUAUCAGGAGAAGUUUGAAUUACCCUUUACCCCGGGUACAGAGACUAGUGGGGUCGUGUUGGAAGUAGGGGACGAGGUGAAGAAUGUGAAACAGGGGGACCAUGUCAUGGGGAAUAUGAUGGGAGGAUUCGCUGAGGAGGUAGUGGUUGACUCCAAGAUGAUAUGGGGGAUGUAUCCGGGAAUGGAAUUUAAGACGGCAGCUUCCCUCGUGACAUCAUACGGUACUGCUCAGAUGGGACUUGUUAGACGCGCCAACAUACAAGAAGGGGACGUUGUUCUCGUCACUGCGGCAGCUGGGGCAGUAGGACUUGCUGCAGUUGAUCUCGCCGCUAAUGUUUACAACGCUACUGUCAUCGGCGCCUGUGGUGGCCCUGAAAAAUGUGAACUCAUCAAAAAAUUCGGCGCAAAAUAUGCAAUAGAUUACAAAAAAGAAAGCAUACGGGAACGCGUUAAGGAAAUCACUAAGGGCAAGGGUGCUAACAUUAUUUUCGAUGCAGUUGGCGGAGAUGUUUUCAAUGAAUGCCUCAGAAGCAUUGCGUUCGAAGGACGAAUAGUUGUAGUAGGAUUUGCUUCCGGGGAAAUCCCAAAAAUCCCGGCAAAUAUUCUGUUGGUAAAGUCCUGUUCCGCGGUCGGGUUAUACUGGGGAAGCUACAGUCAGCGGGACCCUAAAGCCUUUAUUGAGUCCGUUACACAGUGUAUGGCCCUUAGUGCAUCGAAGACCGUGACACCACACGUAUCAAAAACAUUCCCACUCGAACAAGUGAACGAAGCUCUUUUAUAUGUUGGUAACAGGAGUUCUACGGGGAAGGUGGUGGUCAGAGCGGGGCCAGAGCCAUGAUAAAUCUAGUGAGAGAAAAAUAUUGAUUCAAAUGAUAAUUGUGCUGCUCUAUAGCCUUUAAGACUGCAAAAUAGCCAUUACAUGUAUCUACAUAUUCGCAAUUAGCAUGGACGAAUGCAGAAAGAAGAUUGAUUUUACAUAUUUUAUCCCGAGUACUACGUUAAUCCAAGGACGUCCUUGGUUAAUCAUUGUUAUAAAUAAGUUCGAAUGCAUGCCCAAAAUUGUCCAUAAAUGGACCACAUAGAUAAAUGGACACUUAUUCUAAGUUAAUAAUAAUUUCCAUACACAGGGUCUUCAUUCCUUCUUACGUUAUCUCGUCUAUCUUUAGCUGCAAGAAAACGAAAGACCAUAAACUAUAUCCGAGGACGUCCUUGCUAUAUCUUUACAUUUCUAAUCAAAUAAUGAGGGAGUUGCAAAAUAGCUCAAUAAAGCUGAAUGACUAGAUGUCGCCACUUGUAUUAAAAUGUUUUGGCAGGGCCAGACUGCCAUAUGGUUCAAAGAUAAAAUCUUUGGUUUUAAACAAUUUUAAAGGGGCAACAUGGCCUGUAGAGAGAAAAUAGGAAAAUUUUAACUUUUUCUGUGCUAUCAAGACUAUCAAGUUCAAAGCUUUAAAAAGGGGAAAUCCACUUUUAUAUAUUUUUAAGACCCACCAUUAGUCCAUGGUAGGAAAUCUCUAGGACGUCUAAUAAAGGAGCUGGUAGCACAGUAUAGCGCAGCGAUAUUUGACCUUAUAUUAACAUACCUAC
rnacentral:misc_RNA from 1 species